rnacentral:rRNA from 1 species
GACGAACGCUGGCGGCGCGCUUAACACAUGCAAGUCGAACGGAAAGGCCUGCUUUCCCUUGUGGAUUGCGGGUACUCGAGUGGCGAACGGGUGAGUAACACGUGAGUGAUCUGCCCCCAACUUGGGUAUAAGCCUGGGAAACUGGGUCUAAUUCCCGAUAGGACUGCAGGGUGGUGCCUGUGGUGGAAAACGAUUUUCUAGUGGUUGGGGAUGAGCUCGCGGCCUAUCAGCUUGUUGGUGGGGUAAUGGCCUACCAAGGCGGCGACGGGUAGCCGGCCUGAGAGGGUGGACGGCCACAUUGGGACUGAGAUACGGCCCAGACUCCUACGGGAGGCAGCAGUGGGGAAUAUUGCACAAUGGGCGGAAGCCUGAUGCAGCGACGCCGCGUGGGGGAUGACGGCCUUCGGGUUGUAUACUCCUUUCGACCGCGAGGAAGCCACCUGGUUGGAAGGGUGGUGACGGUAGUGGUAGAAGAAGCACCGGCUAACUACGU